UACAGAGGUCUCAAGCGUUGUUCGGAUUCAUUGGGCGUAAAGGGUGCGUAGGUGGCGCCGUAAGUCGGGUGUGAAAUUUCGGAGCUUAACUCCGAAACUGCAUUCGAUACUGCGGUGCUUGAGGACUGGAGAGGAGACUGGAAUUCAUGGUGUAGCAGUGAAAUGCGUAGAUAUCGAGAGGAACACCAGUGGCGAAGGCGGGUAGCUGGGCCGACACUGACGCUGAGGCGCGAAAGCCAGGGGAGCGAACGGG
rnacentral:rRNA from 1 species